rnacentral:rRNA from 1 species
GAUGAACGCUGGCGGCGUGCCUAAUACAUGCAAGUCGAGCGAACAGACGAGGAGCUUGCUCCUCUGACGUUAGCGGCGGACGGGUGAGUAACACGUGGAUAACCUACCUAUAUGACUUGGAUAACUGCGGGCAACCGGUGCUAAUACCGGAUAAUAUCUUGAACCGCAUGGUUCAAUAGUGAAAGACGGUUUUGCUGUCACUUAUAGAUGGGUCCGCGCCGCAUUAGCUAGUUGGUAAGGUAACGGCUUACCAAGGCAACGAUGGGUAGCGGACCUGAGAGGGGGAUCGGCAAAAUGGGAAUGGAGACACGGUCAGGACUCCUACGGGAGGAGGAAGUGGGGAACUUGCGGAAAUGGGGGAAAGCCUGACGGAGCAACGCCGGGUGAGUGAUGAAGGUCUUCGGAUCGAAAAACUCGGCUAUUAGGGAAGACCAAAUGUGUAAGUAACUAUGCGCGUCUUGACGGUACCUAAAAAGAAAGCAACGGCUAACUACGUG